AUUCAGCAGCCGCGGUAAUACGGAGGGUGCAAGCAUUAAUCGGAUUUAUUGGGCGUAAAGGGGGCGCAGGCGGAAGUGUAAGCCAGACGUGAAAUCCCGGGGCUCAACCCCGGAACUGCAUUUGGAACUACACAUCUAGAGGAUAGGCGGAGAAAACGGAAUUCCACAUGUAGCGGUGAAAUGCGUAGAUAUGUGGAAGAACACCCGUGGCGAAAGCGGUUUUCUAGCUUAUUCCUGACGCUGAGGCCCGAAAGCUAGGGGAGCGAACAGGAUUAGAUACCCUGGUAGUCCUAGCCGUAAACGAUGCAUACUUGGUGUAGCCGGACUCAACCCUGGCUGUGCCGUAGCUAACGUGUUAAGUAUGCCGCCUGGGGAGUACGCUCGCAAGGGUGAAACUCAAAAGAAUUGACGGGGACCCGCACAAGCAGUGGAGCAUGUGGUUUAAUUCGAUGCAACGCGAAGAACCUUACCCAGACUUGACAUGCAGUGGCAAGUGCCAGAAAUGGCGCCCUCCUUCGGGACCACUGCACAGGUGCUGCAUGGCUGUCGUCAGCUCGUGCCGUGAGGUGUUGGGUUAAGUCCCGCAACGAGCGCAACCCUUAUCGUUAGUUGCCAGCAUUUAAGAUGGGAACUCUAACGAGACUGCCUGGGUUAACCAGGAGGAAGGUGAGGAUGACGUCAAGUCCGCAUGGCCCUUAUGUCUGGGGCUACACACGUGCUACAAUGGCCGGUACAAAAGGCAGCAAUACCGUGAGGUGGAGCAAAUCCAAAAAACCGGUCCCAGUUCGGAUUGGAGUCUGCAACUCGACUCCAUGAAGUAGGAAUUGCUAGUAAUGGCGUGUCAGCAAUAACGCCGUGAAUACGUUCCCGGGUCUUGUACACACCGCCCGUCACAUCAUGGAAGUUGGUUUUACCCGAAGUCGCUGACUUAACCGCAAGGAGAGAAGCGCCGAAGGUGAGGCUGAUGACUGGGAUGAAGUCGUAACAAGGUAACCAAU
rnacentral:rRNA from 1 species